rnacentral:rRNA from 1 species
GAUGAACGCUGGCGGCGUGCCUAAUACAUGCAAGUCGAGCGAACAGACGAGGAGCUUGCUCCUCUGACGUUAGCGGCGGACGGGUGAGUAACACGUGGAUAACCUACCUAUAAGACUGGGAUAACUUCGGGAAACCGGAGCUAAUACCGGAUAAUAUAUUGAACCGCAUGGUUCAAUAGUGAAAGACGGUUUUGCUGUCACUUAUAGAUGGAUCCGCGCCGCAUUAGCUAGUUGGUAAGGUAACGGCUUACCAAGGCAACGAUGCGUAGCCGACCUGAGAGGGUGAUCGGCCACACUGGACCUGAGACACGGUCCAGACGCCUACGGGAGGCAGCAGUAGGGAAUCUUCCGCAAUGGGCGAAAGCUUGACGGAGCAACGCCGCGUGAGUGAUGAAGGUCUUCGGAUCGUAAAACUCUGUUAUUAGGGAAGAACAAAUGUGUAAGUAACUAUGCACGUCUUGACGGUACCUAAUCAGAAAGCCACGGCUAACUACGUG